rnacentral:siRNA from 1 species
UUGAUACUUACCUUAACACUCU